rnacentral:rRNA from 1 species
GACGAACGCUGGCGGCGUGCUUAACACAUGCAAGUCGAACGGAAAGGCCCUGCUUUUGUGGGGUGCUCGAGUGGCGAACGGGUGAGUAACACGUGAGUAACCUGCCCUUGACUUUGGGAUAACUUCAGGAAACUGGGGCUAAUACCGGAUAGGAGCUCCUGCUGCAUGGGGGGGGUUGGAAAGUUUCGGCGGUUGGGGAUGGACUCGCGGCUUACCAGCUGGUUGGUGGGGUAGUGGCUUACCAAGGCUUUGACGGGUAGCCGGCCUGGGAGGGUGACCGGCCACAUUGGGACUGAGAUACGGCCCAGACUCCUACGGGAGGCAGCAGUGGGAAAUAUUGCACAAUGGGCGGAAGCCUGAUGCAGCAACGCCGCGUGCGGGAUGACGGCCUUCGGGUUGUAAACCGCUUUCGCCUGUGACGAAGCGUGAGUGACGGUAAUGGGUAAAGAAGCACCGGCUAACUACGUG